AUUGAACGCUGGCGGCAGGCUUAACACAUGCAAGUCGAGCGGAGAUGAGGUGCUUGCACCUUAUCUUAGCGGCGGACGGGUGAGUAAUGCUUAGGAAUCUGCCUAUUAGUGGGGGACAACAUUCCGAAAGGAAUGCUAAUACCGCAUACGCCCUACGGGGGAAAGCAGGGGAUCUUCGGACCUUGCGCUAAUAGAUGAGCCUAAGUCGGAUUAGCUAGUUGGUGGGGUAAAGGCCUACCAAGGCGACGAUCUGUAGCGGGUCUGAGAGGAUGAUCCGCCACACUGGGACUGGGACACGGCCCAGACUCCUACGGGAGGCAGCAGUGGGGAAUAUUGGACAAUGGGCGGAAGCCUGAUCCAGCCAUGCCGCGUGUGUGAAGAAGGCCUUUUGGUUGUAAAGCACUUUAAGCGAGGAGGAGGCUACCUGGAUUAAUACUCUAGGAUAGUGGACGUUACUCGCAGAAUAAGCACCGGCUAACUCUGUGCCAGCCGCCGCAGCAACAC
rnacentral:rRNA from 1 species